GGACGGCUGGUGCCUGGCCUUCAUUGCUUCAGAGGCUUCCUUCCUCCUUAUACUGCGCUGGCUUUUCAAACCCAUCCGGCUGCUCAGGCUCUGCUGGAUGUAGGACAGAAAGGUCCAAGGAGCUGAAGCUGGUUGAGGCCUGUGGGCUGGGAGAUUUGCUGCUUUGGCCACGGGGAGGCGCUAUGUUCUAGUAAAACCUGUGCAUCUGGGGUGGAGGAGGGGAAGGAGUGAAUGGAGGAAUGGGGCUAGCGAUGGAGGAGUAAAGCUAAUGCGUCAGGCUCCAUCCUUAUAUCACCGAAGUCAGUUUCAGUUUCAGAUGGAUUUCCUCUUGUCUUGCUGUGCAUGUGCAUGGUAUUGUCUCUGCAGGCUGUGCAUAGAUUUGGAGUAAGCCCAGGCAAGUCCUUCAGCCACAGUGGCUGAUCCCUUUCAGCUCCCUUGGCACUCUUGCCAGUGCCCACUCUGCACAUUAGAUAGCGGACAAUGGGCCAGUUUGGAACUGUGGUCAUCUGAUCACCCUCUGCCACAAAGAUGGGGAAAGAGGACUCCGACUAGUUCAGGCACAGAGAGAAGCAACACUGAGAGAAGAGGAAGAUCCCUUGAGGUGGAAAUGACCUGUCCCUGAGGGGGGGCGGUCUGGGAAGGGAGGCAGGUAGAAGGAGGAGCUAUUAUCCAUAAGGAGAAGGACAGCUAAGAGCAAAAGAGCAACUGGCUGAACGAUAUACCCUUGAGCCAUAAAAAGCAGCCUCUGCUCUUUCUGCCUAUAGCAGCUCAUCCCAGCCAACUAAAUUCAAAUCCACUCAGAGGUUAUAGAAGGCAUAGAAGGGGUAGGAAGAAACAGCUCCUGAAACUGGGGAAGCUGUUAGGAACAGUGACAUCACAAGUGAAACUACCAACCAGGAGGGCCAAAGAAGCUGGAGACUGGCCCCCUCCUCCAGAACUUCCCAGCUGGGCAGGGUCCAUCUCAGACCUGACUCUACCAUGGGCUGUGGGCUGCUCUGCUGUGUGGUCCUCUGUCUCGUGGGAGCAGUUUCCCUGGACACUGGAGUUACCCAGAGCCCAAAACACCUGGUCAUGGGAAGGACAAAUAAAAAGACAUUGAAAUGUGAGCAACGUCUGGGACAUAAUUUUAUGUAUUGGUAUAAGCAGAAGCCCGAGAAGCCACCAGAGCUCAUGUUUAUCUACAACCUCAAAAAUCUCUUUCAAAAUGAGACUGUUCCAAGUCGCUUCUCACCUGAAUGCCCUGACAGCUCUCACCUCUACCUGCACCUGGAUGCCCUGGAGCUAGGAGACUCAGCUGUAUAUCUCUGCGCCAGCAGCCAAGACACAGCCCUGCAGUGUCACCACCUCCCUGUGCACAAACCUCUGAGUCCAGCCAGGAAGCUGUGGGGCAACCACAGGCAGUUGAACAUUUCCUUAGGACCACAGACAGAAGCUGUAGACCUAAAUAUCACCUGCUGA